rnacentral:rRNA from 1 species
CCAAUAGCGUAUAUUAAAGUUGUUGCAGUUAAAAAGCUCGUAGUUGAAUUUCGGAAUCAAUGGGUUGGUCAUGCCCUCGGUAUGUACUGAUUUCAUUGGUUCUCACCUUCUAAGGAACCAUGAUGUCAUUUAUUUGAUGUUGUGGGAAAUUAGGACUGUUACCUUGAAAAAAUUAGAGUGUUUAAAGCAGGCUAACGCUUGAAUACAUUAGCAUGGAAUAAUGAAAUAGGACAUCCGAUUCUAUUUUGUUGGUUUCUAGGAUCGAUGUAAUGAUUAAUAGGGAUAGUUGGGGGCAUUAGUAUUCAAUUGUCAGAGGUGAAAUUCUUGGAUUUAUUGAAGACUAACUACUGCGAAAGCAUUUGCCAAGGAUGUUUUCAUUAAUCAAGAACGAAAGUUAGGGGAUCGAAGACGAUCAGAUACCGUCGUAGUCUUAACCAUAAACUAUGCCGACUAGGGAUCGGAUGAUGCUUAUUUUUUAAUGACUCAUUCGGCACCUUACG